rnacentral:rRNA from 1 species
GCUCAGAAUGAACGCUAGCGGCGCGCCUAAUGCAUGCAAGUCGAGCGAUGAGGCCCUCUUCGGAGGGUCAUCAGCGGCAGACGGGUGAGUAACACGUAGGUGACCUGCCCUAAAGAUGGGGACAACGGAUGGAAACAUGCGCUAAUACCCAAUGGACCUGUACUGUCGAAGGUAUAGGUAAAGCUUCGGCGCUUUAGGAGGGGCCUGCGGCCCAUCAGCUAGUUGGUAGGGUAACGGCCUACCAAGGCAAAGACGGGUAGGGGGUGUGAGAGCAUGACCCCCCACAAUGGGACUGAGACACGGCCCAUACUCCUACGGGAGGCAGCAGCAGGGAAUAUUGCACAAUGGACGGAAGUCUGAUGCAGCGACGCCGCGUGGAUGAUGAAGGCCCUCGGGUCGUAAAAUCCUUUUCAGGGGGAAGAGGAAGGACGGUACCCCUGGAAUAAGCGUCGGCUAACUACGUGCCAGCAGCCGCGGUAAGACGUAGGACGCAAGCGUUAUCCGGAUUUACUGGGCGUAAAGCGUCUGUAGGCGGUUGGGUAAGUUGGGCGUGAAAGCUCCGUGCUCAACGCGGAGAGGUCGUUCAAUACUGCCGAACUAGAGGACAUCAGAGGAGCAUGGAAUUUCCGGUGUAGCGGUAAAAUGCGCAGAUAUCGGAAGGAACACCAGUGGCGAAGGCGGUGCUCUGGGGUGUGCCUGACGCUGAGAGACGAAAGCUAGGGGAGCGAACAGGAUUAGAGACCCUGGUAGUCCUAGCCCUAAACGAUGGAUGCUAGAUGUGGGGCCGAGAAGGCUCCGUGUCGCAGUUAACGCGGUAAGCAUCCCGCCUGGGGAUUACGGCCGCAAGGCUAAAACUCAAACGAAUUGACGGGGCCCCGCACAAGCAGCGGAGCGUGUGGUUUAAUUCGAUGCUACACGAAGAACCUUACCUGGGUU